rnacentral:rRNA from 1 species
GUUAUAUGGUCAAGUGAAUAAGCGCAUACGGUGGAUGCCUUGGCAGUCAGAGGCGAUGAAAGACGUGGUAGCCUGCGAUAAGCUUCGGGGAGUCGGCAAACAGACUUUG